rnacentral:rRNA from 1 species
UACGAAGGGUGCAAGCGUUACUCGGAAUUACUGGGCGUAAAGCGUGCGUAGGCGGUUUGUUAAGUCCGUUGUGAAAGCCCUGGGCUCAACCUGGGAAUGGCAGUGGAUACUGGCGAGCUAGAGUGCGGUAGAGGAUGGUGGAAUUCCCGGUGUAGCGGUGAAAUGCGUAGAGAUCGGGAGGAACACCCGUGGCGAAGGCAGCCCCCUGGGCUGAGAUUGACGCUCAGGCACGAAAGCGUGGGGAGCAAACAGG